UCGCGGCUUAUCACCGGCAGUCCCCUUAGAGUGCCCAACUAAAUGAUGGCAACAUAGAACGAGGGUUGCGCUCGUUGCGGGACUUAACCCAACAUCUCACGACACGAGCUGACGACAACCAUGCACCACCUGUUUACGAGUGUCCAAAGAGUUGACCAUUUCUGGCCCGUUCUCGUAUAUGUCAAGUCUUGGUAAGGUUCUUCGCGUUGCAUCGAAUUAAUCCGCAUGCUCCGCCGCUUGUGCGGGCCCCCGUCAAUUCCUUUGAGUUUUAGCCUUGCGGCCGUACUCCCCAGGCGGGGAACUUAAUGCGUUAGCUUCGGCACGGAGGGAGUCGACACCCCCCACACCUAGUGCCCAUCGUUUACGGCGUGGACUAC
rnacentral:misc_RNA from 1 species